rnacentral:rRNA from 1 species
UACGGGGGGGGCAAGCGUUGUUCGGAAUUACUGGGCGUAAAGCGUGCGUAGGCGGCUAUGUAAGUCUGACGUGAAAUCCCUCGGCUUAACCGGGGAACUGCGUCUGAUACUGGAUGGCUAGAGUUUGGGAGAGGGAUGCGGAAUUCCAGGUGUAGCGGUGAAAUGCGUAGAUAUCUGGAGGAACACCGGUGGCGAAGGCGGCAUCCUGGACCAACACUGACGCUGAUGAGCGAAAGCCAGGGGAGCAAACGGG